rnacentral:rRNA from 1 species
CAGCCGCCGCGGUAAUACGAAGGGUGCAAGCGUUAAUCGGAAUUACUGGGCGUAAAGCGUGCGUAGGCGGUGAGUUAAGUCUGCUGUGAAAUCCCCGGGCUCAACCUGGGAAUGGCAAUGGAUACUGGCAAGCUAGAGUGUGUCAGAGGAUGGUGGAAUUCCCGGUGUAGCGGUGAAAUGCGUAGAGAUCGGGAGGAACAUCAGUGGCGAAGGCGGCCAUCUGGGACAACACUGACGCUGAGGCACGAAAGCGUGGGGAGCAAACAGGAUUAGAUACCCCGGUAGUCCCUGUCUCUUAUAC